rnacentral:rRNA from 1 species
CGGACCCAGCAGUCGCGAAACUUGCAUAGCGAAAGCUGACAGGGCUAUCCGAGUGCAUCCGCUGAGGAAGGCCUUUACCCAGUCUAGACGCUGGGGGAAUAAGAGAGGGCAAGUCUGGUGUCAGCCGCCGCGGUAAUACCAGCUCUCCGAGUGGUGGUGGAUGUUAUUGGGCCUAAAGCAUCCGUAGCUGGCUAGGUCAGUCCUUGUUAAAUCCACCGAAUUAAUCGUUGGAUUGCGGGGGAUACUGCUUGGGCUAGGGGACGAGAGAGGCAGACGGUAUUUUCGGGGUAGGGGUGAAGUCCUAUAAUCCCGGGAAGACCACCAGUGGCGAAGGCUGUCUGCUAGAACGCGCCCGACGGUGAGGGAUGAAAGCUGGGGGAGCGAACCGGAUUAGAUACCCGGGUAGUCCCAGCUGUAAACGAUGCAGACUAGGUGUUUGGACGGCCACGUGCCGUUCUAGUGCCGCAGGGAAGCUGUUAAGUCUGCCGCCUGGGGAGUACGAUCGCAAGAUUGAAACUUAAAGGAAUUGGCGGGGGAGCACCACAAGGGGUGAAGCUUGCGGUUUAAUUGGAGUCAACGCCGGAAAUCUCACCGGGAGCGACAGCAGUAUGAAGGCCAGAUUAAAGGUCUUGCCAGACGAGCUGAGAGGAGGUGCAUGGCCGUCGCCAGUUCGUGCCGUGAGGUGUCCUGUUAAGUCAGGCAACGAUCGAGACCCGCGUCCUCUGUUGCAACCAGCUUUGAGCUGGGCACACUGAGGAGACCGCCACUGAUAAAGUGGAGGAAGGAGCGGGCCACGGCAGGUCAGUAUGCCCCGAAUCUCCCGGGCCACACGCGAGCUGCAAUGGCAGGUACAAUGGGUUCCGACCUCAAAAGGGGGAGGCAAUCUCGAAAGCCUGCCGUAGUUGGGAUUGAGGGCUGUAACCCGCCCUCAUGAACAUGGAAUCCCUAGUAAUCGCGUGUCAUUAGCGCGCGGUGAAUACGUCCCUGCUCCUUGCACACACCG